GACGAACGCAGGCGGCGUGCCUAAUACAUGCAAGUAGAACGCUGAAGGAGGAGCUUGCUCUUCUGGCUGAGUUGCGAACGGGUGAGUAACGCGUAGGUAACCUGCCUGGUAGCGGGGGAUAACUAUUGGAAACGAUAGCUAAUACCGCAUAAGAGUAGAUGUUGCAUGACAUUUGCUUAAAAGGUGCAAUUGCAUCACUACCAGAUGGACCUGCGUUGUAUUAGCUAGUUGGUGAGGUAACGGCUCACCAAGGCGACGAUACAUAGCCGACCUGAGAGGGUGAUCGGCCACACUGGGACUGAGACACGGCCCAGACUCCUACGGGAGGCAGCAGUAGGGAAUCUUCGGCAAUGGACGGAAGUCUGACCGAGCAACGCCGCGUGAGUGAAGAAGGUUUUCGGAUCGUAAAGCUCUGUUGUAAGAGAAGAACGAGUGUGAGAGUGGAAAGUUCACACUGUGACGGUAUCUUACCAGAAAGGGACGGCUAACUACGUGCCAGCAGCCGCGGUAAUACGUAGGUCCCGAGCGUUGUCCGGAUUUAUUGGGCGUAAAGCGAGCGCAGGCGGUUAGAUAAGUCUGAAGUUAAAGGCUGUGGCUUAACCAUAGUACGCUUUGGAAACUAUUUAACUUGAGUGCAAGAGGGGAGAGUGGAAUUCCAUGUGUAGCGGUGAAAUGCGUAGAUAUAUGGAGGAACACCGGUGGCGAAAGCGGCUCUCUGGCUUGUAACUGACGCUGAGGCUCGAAAGCGUGGGGAGCAAACAGG
rnacentral:rRNA from 1 species